GCAGCCGCGGUAAUACGUAGGGGGCGAGCGUUGUCCGGAAUGACUGGGCGUAAAGGGCGCGUAGGUGGUUCGGUAAGUUUGGAGUGAAAGUCCCGCUUUCAAGGUGGGAAUUGCUUUGAAAACUGCCGAACUUGAGUGAUGGAGAGGAUAGCGGAAUUCCCGGUGUAGCGGUGAAAUGCGUAGAGAUCGGGAGGAACACCAGUGGCGAAGGCGGCUAUCUGGACAUAAACUGACACUGAGGCGCGAAAGCGUGGGUAGCAAACAGGAUUAGAUACCCC
rnacentral:rRNA from 1 species